GACGAACGCUGGCGGCAUGCCUAAUACAUGCAAGUUGAACGAUGAUAUUCUCUGCUUGCAGAGAAUUGAAGAGUAGCGAACGGGUGAGUAACACGUGGGGAACCUGCCCAUGAGAGGGGGAUAACAUUCGGAAACGGAUGCUAAUACCGCAUAAUGCUUUGGACCGCCUGGUCCAGAGACGAAAGACGGCUUUUGCUGUCACUCAUGGAUGGCCCCGCGCCGUAUUAGCUAGUUGGUGAGGUAAUGGCUCACCAAAGCUGUGAUACGUAGCCGACCUGAGAGGGUGAUCGCCCACACUGGGACUGAGACACGCCCCAGACUCCUACGGGAGGCAGCAGUAGGGAAUCUUCCACAAUGGGCGAAAGCCUGAUGGAGCAAUGCCGCGUGAAUGAAGAAGGUCUUCGGAUCGUAAAGUUCUGUUAUUAGAGAAGAACAAGUCAAGGAGUAACUGUCUUGACUUUGACGGUACCUAACCAGAAAGUCACGGCUAACUACGUG
rnacentral:rRNA from 1 species